UACGGGGGGUGCAAGCGUUGCUCGGAAUCACUGGGCGUAAAGCGUCCGCAGGCUGAUUUGCAGGUCGGGUGUGAAAUCCCGGGGCUCAACCCCGGAACUGCAUCCGAAACCGCAUGUCUCGAGUACGGGAGAGGGAAGCGGAAUUCCUGGUGUAGAGGUGAAAUUCGUAGAUAUCAGGAGGAACACCGGUGGCGAAAGCGGCUUCCUGGCCCGAUACUGACGCUCAUGGACGAAAGCGUGGGGAGCAAACAGG
rnacentral:rRNA from 1 species